ACCAUGUCCACACAUGAGCAAUCACGGAUUGGUGUSUCCCGCGGGCUCCUUGCCUCUCGCAAUCAACCACUAAAGAGGCCAUCCUUCUUAGUCCUGUGCUCAUUCGUAUCUUUAGGCCAUCCUUUUUAGUCCAGUGCGUUGCGUGUGCYAUCUACCCGGCUCUGCAGGAAGUCAACGUACCCUAUGUGCUAGUUCACCUCCCCACCUCGAGCGGGAGGCACAACCACAAUGUGGUCGUUGCGCGCACCUUAACGACACAACCCUUGGGCCCCGUGCUAGCUGGGCUCCUAAAGUAUCRCAAGCUCUCGCAAAUGCGACAGGCUUCGGGGACUUCGGCCCUCGGCCCGGACCUUGGUCGGUCAUUAAGCCACCCUCGUCGAGACAACGAUCGAUCCACCGAUGGGCCCCCUCCGCUCCCUGCGGG
rnacentral:misc_RNA from 1 species